ACAAGAUCCCUUUGUAGCUCGACAUUGACAUUUCAUCGUUUUGCAAGAAGAGCUCUUACUGCAAGUGCAGCACACAUCAGAUGUUGACGUGGGUUUCACUGCCUCAUCUGAAGGAGAGUCCAGGUUCUCUUCGUAUGAACGCCUCGGCACCACACUAGAGCGCCGUCUUCCCACUUUGAAGUUUCUUUUCCUGUUCAGUUUUAUAACUGAUUCCUGCUCCGACUCACGCUCUGAUUCUUGCUCAGGUUUCCACUCAUCGUCAAGAUCUGGAUCUUCCCGUUCAUGGUCCGAGUCAUCAGAAUCAGAGGUGUCCAUGUCCUCAUGAACUAUAACCGAGUUCCGGGCUUCCUGCUUUUUCAAGCUGUGCUCGUUGUUUAAAUUCCCCUCCGCAGACCUUUUGAUCAAUUCAGAAGCCUGUAAAAAGGAAUCCAUGCAAAAUUUCAGAGGAUAAGUGGCAUUAGCUAUCAAGAUAAAACAAGAGUAGUAGAAGCUAAUUUUACUAACCUGUGCCUUCACCUGAUGCGCGAGGUCUGCUUUUUGGAUCUCCAAGUAUCUAACAAAACUGCUAAACUUCACAAUUUUUUCUUUCAGGUCUCUUAUUAGGACGUCCUUUUCCCUGCAGUCUGCUUCUCUAUCUCGAGCUAGACACCUUUUAAUUAAACAAUGGACAUGUAUAAGAAUAAAGAGUGAGUUGGGAGUCAUAUUUGGAAUAUGAUCUCUAAAAAAGCUUCAGUGAGAUCUUACCUCGCAGUUGAUGCCAAAUUGAACAGAUAGUUCAUGAUACUCUUUGCGUCACCUAAUGUUCGAACUUGGUUCCACCUCCCUCUUCCACCAAAUACACGCUCCCGUUCCUCUGCUUCAGACAAUUGUGAUGCCAUGGAAACGAGAGUGUUUGAAGAGGUCGCAAGCAUAUUCUCCAGAGCAAAAAUCCUUGAGUUUCUUGCACCCGGAGACAUGGUAUCAUCAUCAACGCUGCUUUGGUUACAGAAGACGUAAACGGUUUACUAUUUUUUCAGUAAUGAAAUGGUAGUGGUACUGGUUUAUGCAAAAUCACCACUCACCUUAUCUUGGCAUUCUUGAGCAACUCGUUUUCUUCCCUUAGCCUUGCAACUUCCUUCGCCAUUCUUGCUCUCCUGAAUUAUAGACAGGAGAAAGUUUAAUAGGAACAUUAUUUUAGAAUCAUGCCAUGAAGAAAGAUAUAAAACAAGCACAUACUCUUCCAUUUGCCUCUCGUACUCAGAACGCACUUCGUGAACCCGAACAGUGACUUCAAUCUCAUGCUCAAUUGCUUGCAUCAAUGCCUGCAAAUAAAUCAUCAGAAAGUUGCAUUAACAAACCAACCAACACAGUCACCUAAGUAACUGGAAAAACAAAGCAUCGGUUUCAUAUAAGUUGGCGGGUGUUACCUGAGUUCCUGGACCAUUAGCACUUGCACCACCUGCGUAUAUAGUAGGAUAACCAGUUAGUAAUUUAUACCAACAAAGAUAGAAUAAUUUAUACCAACAAACAUAGAACUGAUUAUACUAAUCCUUACUCAAUGUCUCCCGCGAAGACGCCUUUCGAUUUUCUAAAAGCUCUUUGAGUCUUUUUGUCGCCUGGGAAGCCUCUUCUGUCUUUCUUUGCAAAACCUGUUAAAACCACAGACGAUUGAGCAGACAUGAUAAUAGAAAAGAUCAAGUUAAUUUGUCUGAAAGUUUAUAAAGAUGUGCGCACCAGCUUCUGUUUUUGAUUCAGAGCCAUGAGCUUGUGCAUCUCAUACUCGUUUCUCCUUCCCUCUUUUUUUAGCUGGUUAAAUUUCAAAAUACAAUAUAACGAGAGGUUCAGUACACACAAGAGAUUUCUGAAUAACCAUGUCAAAUGUCUUCCAAACUACAACGAGACUUUCUACAAGCACAUGUUGUAUUUGAAUAGAGGUGGUGACUAAUGAUUGAGAAGAUGAAACUUGUUUAACUUGUUCCUUAGUGGUGCAAGACAGACACACUUAUCAAUCAAGUAAGCCUCAAAGUGAUCAAGAAAAAUCUAAUAUACCUGCAUGACUUCCUUCUCUCUUGAGGCCUUCCAAGCCCUGAACUGUUCUGAUUCUUGCUUAAUUUUUUGCUGCAAUUGCACCUGCAAGUCCAACCGAAGCAGAAAAGUAUAGUUAAGAGACACAGCAUGAGCAUAUAUGUUACAGUGUAUUAAAAUGGAGAUCACAGGAGAAAAAGAACACCUUUUGGGACUUAAUUCUGUGUAUUUCAUCUUGUAGUUUUCUUGCUGCGUCGUCACUUUUCUGCUUUUGCCUUAAGAGUUGAGCUUGUGCAUCUUGUUUCUUCUUCAACUCAGAAACCUAAAGGGACGAUGCAUCAUGAAAAACCAUACUGUAUGUAGAUGACUGAGUAUAGCUGAUAAACCAAAAGAGGCGGUACCUGGGUUUCAAGCGUGUUCAGUUUCUGAAGAUACGAUUCCUUUAGUUUUUGGGCACCAUCGCCUGGGGCAGAUGGUAUGCUCCGCGAUGCGGGUUUAAAUAUUUUCAUAAUUUUUGAAAAGUUCUUUGUACACUAUAUUCAUAAUUUUAGUAAAAAUUUUAUUUGAUUAAUAUUUAAUUAUAUAAUUUAUGUUUUUAAUUUUUUACUAAAAUACUUUUUCGGAUAACAAUACAAUAUAUAUAUAGAAAUUAUAUUUUUUAAUUAUAUUUUUAUAUUUUGGAUAAUUCAAUAUUUUAUUUUUAAUUAUAUAAUUAAGAAUUUUAUUUGAUUAAUAUUUAGUUAUAUAAUUAACUUUUUACUAAAAGACUUCUUCAUAUAACAAUACAAUAUAUACAAAAAUUAUUUUUUUUUUAAUUAUAUUUUCAGAUUGUGGAGAAUUUUUACUAUUAUUUUUAUUUUAAAAUUUUGGUAGUAUAUUCGAGACUCAUAACGAUUUCUAGUCUAAAAUAAAGGUUGUUUGUAUAAAUAGAUUCACAUUUAAAUAAAAAAAAGAUACAAAUUCUGAAGGAAAAAAAACAUAUAUAUAAUUAAGUACAAUAAUUUUCUUGAAUUACUUUAUUCAAAGCUCUAAAAUUUUCUGGAAGUGUUUCACGAGUUAGAAAGGGGCUUUUGUGUAAUUGUCAUCAGAAGUUAGUUUAAUACCAGAAGAUUAUUACCGGAGACGACAGCUUUAAGAAGGAACGUGGGCAAUUAACACUGUUUUAGGUUGUCGGUGGGGAAGAAAAAAUGACAUAUGUGGACAGAUUUUCAAUUAUUCUCAUUUAUCUACUUGUGUUUUUCAAGAUUUAAAAAGCUAAAAUCGUCGAAUUUAAGGUGUCGAUAUAUAAUGUGAAAAUAUGAGACUACUAUUCUAAAAAAGAAAAAAGACUAGCCUUGGCUUAUUAAUUUCGUACUGGUAAAGUGGUAGUAUGGUAUUGUUUGUUGAUUCAUUAGUUCAUUAUUAAUUUUACUGAUAUAGUAUUGCCGACACUAUCAAAAACUAACCCAAUAGUAACAUUCGGUUUGGUUUUUGUUUGACUAAAAUAUCCGAAAUAAAGACAACAAACCAAACACCAGUUGUAUUAAUAUUAGUGGUGAAAGUUUCAUUCAUUAAUUGAUCACCGUGAAGGCGUGAAACUAACCAUCAAGUUCAAACAUGUAUCUCAAUGAUUUUGUAUUGUCAACAAGACUCACAACUCUAAAAAUUCGCAUAUGCAUUCGUUCAUCUAGAACAUGUUCUUGACACACACCAAAACAAAGAUUAUCGGAUAAUAAGAAAAAGAUCCAAACCCAUCUUUCCUCGUUCGUCAAGCAACGUCUCCGUUUCCUGGUUAGAUCCGACGAGUGUGGUUCUCUUUUUCAUCUGAAGUUGUACUUCCACUUGCCCCACCAGAACUGCUCUGCACAAAACCACCAUUACCAACUGAUUCACCACCGCUUUGGUCGGCGUUUCUUUCUCUCAGCAUGUUGCUGCCUUUAGAAGUCAUCGACCUCGGUAGCUUCAGUUUGGUAUUAUUUGCCUCUCCAGAGUCGCUCGGCUCCUGAGAUGAAGUUGUUGCUGUUGUUGCUGGUGGUGGAUCUACAACGAGCUGAAGCAGAGGCUUCCUCCAUUUCCUUCGUUUCAUUGGCUUUGGCACAUUUGUUUUACCCUGAAACCAAAUAUCAUCAAAUAAGCUAUCUGCUGUCACAGAAACGGAGAAAUGAUCAAAUACAAUGAAAAAGUCUUAGAGAAUGUUACCGUCGUGUUUCCUAUGUCUGACAGAGGCUUUCUUCUUGUUCUGGUUCCUUCUCCAUCAUUAGUCUCCUCAACUGGCUUGUCAGCAAGAGCGUUUUGGAGCAGCAAAGCUCCACGUGAAGCAAGGACUUGUUGUUGUUCUUCCUGAGAACUCUCACUGUUGUUGUUCUGCUUUUCGUCUGCGUUCCUGUUGGAACAUUUAACUGAAGAGCAACCGCAUGAAGGACCACAAGAUCCCUUUGUAGCUCGACACUGACAUUUCAUCGUUUUGCAAGAAGAGCUCUUACUGCAAGUGCAGCACACAUCAGAUGUUGACGUGGGUUUCACUGCCUCAUCUGAAGGAGAGUCCAGGUUCUCUUCGUAUGAACGCCUCGGCACCACACUAGAGCGCCGUUUUCCCACUUUGAAGUUUCUUUUCCUGUUCAGUUUUAUAACUGAUUCCUGCUCCGACUCACGCUCUGAUUCUUGCUCAGGUUUCCACUCAUCGUCAAGAUCUGGAUCUUCCCGUUCAUGGUCCGAGUCAUCAGAAUCAGAGGUGUCCAUGUCCUCAUGAACUAUAACCGAGUUCCGGGCUUCCUGCUUUUUCAAGCUGUGCUCGUUGUUUAAAUUCCCCUCCGCAGACCUUUUGAUCAAUUCAGAAGCCUGUAAAAUGGAAUCCAUGCAAAAUUUCAGAGGAUAAGUGGCAUUAGCUAUCAAGAUAAAACAAGAGUAGUAGAAGCUAAUUUUACUAACCUGUGCCUUCACCUGAUGCGCGAGGUCUGCUUUUUGGAUCUCCAAGUAUCUAACAAAACUGCUAAACUUCACAAUUUUUUCUUUCAGGUCUCUUAUUAGGACGUCCUUUUCCCUGCAGUCUGCUUCUCUAUCUCGAGCUAGACACCUUUUAAUUAAACAAUGGACAUGUAUAAGAAUAAAGAGUGAGUUGGGAGUCAUAUUUGGAAUAUGAUCUCUAAAAAAGCUUCAGUGAGAUCUUACCUCGCAGUUGAUGCCAAAUUGAACAGAUAGUUCAUGAUACUCUUUGCGUCACCUAAUGUUCGAACUUGGUUCCACCUCCCUCUUCCACCAAAUACACGCUCCCGUUCCUCUGCUUCAGACAAUUGUGAUGCCAUGGAAACGAGAGUGUUUGAAGAGGUCGCAAGCAUAUUCUCCAGAGCAAAAAUCCUUGAGUUUCUUGCACCCGGAGACAUGGUAUCAUCAUCAACGCUGCUUUGGUUACAGAAGACGUAAAGGGUUUACUAGUUUUUCAGUAAUGAAAUGGUAGUGGUACUGGUUUAUACAAAAUCACCACUCACCUUAUCUUGGCAUUCUUGAGCAACUCGUUUUCUUCCCUUAGCCUUGCAACUUCCUUCGCCAUUCUUGCUCUCCUGAAUUAUGACAGGAGAAAGUUUAAUAGGAACAUUAUUUUAGAAUCAGGCCAUGAAGAAAGAUAUAAAACAAGCACAUACUCUUCCAUUUGCCUCUCGUACUCAGAACGCACUUCGUGAACCCGAACAGUGACUUCAAUCUCAUGCUCAAUUGCUUGCAUCAAUGCCUGCAAAUAAAUCAUCAGAAAGUUGCAUUAACAAACCAACCAACACAGUCACCUAAUAAAUGGAAAAACAAAGCAUCGAUUUCAUAUAAGUUGGCGGGUGUUACCUGAGUUCCUGGACCAUUAGCACUUGCACCACCUGCAUAUAUAGUAGGAUAACCAGUUAGUAAUUUAUACCAACAAACAUAGAACUGAUUAUACUAAUCCUUACUCAAUGUCUCCCGCGAAGACGCCUUUCGAUUUUCUAAAAGCUCUUUGAGUCUUUUUGUCGCCUGGGAAGCCUCUUCUGUCUUUCUUUGCAAAACCUGUUAAAACCACAGACGAUUGAGCAGACAUGAUAACAGAAAAGAUCAAGUUAAUUUGUCUGAAAGUUUAUAAAGAUGUGCGCACCAGCUUCUGUUUUUGAUUCAGAGCCAUGAGCUUGUGCAUCUCAUACUCGUUUCUCCUUCCCUCUUUUUUUAGCUGGUUAAAUUUCAAAAUACAAUAUAACGAGAGGUUCAGUACACACAAGAGAUUUCUGAAUAACCAUGUCAAAUGUCUUCCAAACUACAACGAGACUUUCUACAAGCACAUGUUGUAUUUGAAUAGAGGUGGUGACUAAUGAUUGAGAAGAUGAAACUUGUUUAACUUGUUCCUUAGUGGUGCAAGACAGACACACUUAUCAAUCAAGUAAGCCUCAAAGUGAUCAAGAAAAAUCUAAUAUACCUGCAUGACUUCCUUCUCUCUUGAGGCCUUCCAAGCCCUGAACUGUUCUGAUUCUUGCUUAAUUUUUUGCUGCAAUUGCACCUGCAAGUCCAACCGAAGCAGAAAAGUAUAGUUAAGAGACACAGCAUGAGCAUAUAUGUUACAGUGUAUUAAAAUGGAGAUCACAGGAGAAAAAGAACACCUUUUGGGACUUAAUUCUGUGUAUUUCAUCUUGUAGUUUUCUUGCUGCGUCGUCACUUUUCUGCUUUUGCCUUAAGAGUUGAGCUUGUGCAUCUUGUUUCUUCUUCAACUCAGAAACCUAAAGGGACGAUGCAUCAUGAAAAACCAUACUGUAUGUAGAUGACUGAGUAUAGCUGAUAAACCAAAAGAGGCGGUACCUGGGUUUCAAGCGUGUUCAGUUUCUGAAGAUACGAUUCCUUUAGUUUUUGGGCACCAUCGCCUGGGGCAGAUGGUAUGCUAGCAAGGUUCUGUCUCAACCCUUCAAUUUCUCUCUGCCAAUCCAUAUAUUAUUUAAUCAAAAUCCGAGUUCAUAAAUUUCAUCAAAAUACAAUAUAGAGCACAUAACACUGACCUGCAGUGCCCUUUUUUCUUGUUCUAGUUCAUGGACCUUUUUCUCAUAAUGUUGUUUGAGAACAGAUGUACCACCGCUUGAAUAACGCUUCAUUUCAGCCUUCAUGAAUGAAUUGAAAUGUUAUUGCAGAUGAAAUACUAAAGGAGAAGUUGAUAUGAAAAUAGUACCUCCUUUUCUUCAAGCCUCUUAUCCAAUUCCUUUAGCUCCAUAUCUAACUUUUCUUGAAGUGAGCAAUGUUCAAGCUCCUUUUCUUGAAAUUCAACCUCAUCUGCACACACUGCAAAUCAUGUCAUCUAUGUAAACAAAUGAACACAGCUUAGCAUAGCAUCCGUCAUUAAAAAAAAAGAAUGUGUUUAUCAAUUUAAGAAUUAGGCAAGCAAAAAUGGUACAACAUUAGUAAAAGUUCCAACCUGCGACAUCAAUCACUUUGUCUUCACAAUCUGACGACUCGUUGGAUGAGGGGAACAAGACAUUACUCGAACGGGGUUUUCCAUAAUUAUAUAUAUACUUAUGAUUUUAAAGUAUGUGUAAUAUCAAUAUAAAUAUUUAAUAAAAAAUGAGAGAUGUAAACUAGAAAUAUAAGGAUAAGUAUAUAUAUGUUCGGUUAUCUUCGGAUAUCCAUUCGGGUUCAGAUAUUAUCCGUUCGGGUUCGGAUAUUAUCUGUUCGGGUUCGGAUAUUAUCUGUUCGGGUUCGGAUAUCCAAUCUCUCAUAACUUAAUACCCGUUCGGGUAAUCCGUUCGGGUUCGGAUAUUAUCUGUUCGGGUUCGGAUAUCCAAUCUCUCAUAACUUAAUACCCGUUCGGGUAUUUUGCUACUUGGGUUCAGAUUUCGGUUCGGGUUUUUUGGAUCGGGUUCGGGUUCGGGUGCGGCUUCAGGUAUCGGAUAAAGUGCCACCCCUACUUGAUACUAUCAUACUAGGUGUUUUGCCCGCGAUGCGGGUUUAAAUAUUUUCAUAAUUUUUGAAAAGUUCUUUGUACACUAUAUUCAUAAUUUUAGUAAAAAUUUUAUUUGAUUAAUAUUUAAUUAUAUAAUUUAUGUUUUUAAUUUUUUACUAAAAUACUUUUUCGGAUAACAAUACAAUAUAUAUAUAGAAAUUAUAUUUUUUAAUUAUAUUUUUAUAUUUUGGAUAAUUCAAUAUUUUAUUUUUAAUUAUAUAAUUAAGAAUUUUAUUUGAUUAAUAUUUAGUUAUAUAAUUAACUUUUUACUAAAAGACUUCUUCAUAUAACAAUACAAUAUAUACAAAAAUUAUUUUUUUUUUAAUUAUAUUUUCAGAUUGUGGAGAAUUUUUACUAUUAUUUUUAUUUUAAAAUUUUGGUAGUAUAUUCGAGACUCAUAACGAUUUCUAGUCUAAAAUAAAGGUUGUUUGUAUAAAUAGAUUCACAUUUAAAUAAAAAAAAGAUACAAAUUCUGAAGGAAAAAAAACAUAUAUAUAAUUAAGUACAAUAAUUUUCUUGAAUUACUUUAUUCAAAGCUCUAAAAUUUUCUGGAAGUGUUUCACGAGUUAGAAAGGGGCUUUUGUGUAAUUGUCAUCAGAAGUUAGUUUAAUACCAGAAGAUUAUUACCGGAGACGACAGCUUUAAGAAGGAACGUGGGCAAUUAACACUGUUUUAGGUUGUCGGUGGGGAAGAAAAAAUGACAUAUGUGGACAGAUUUUCAAUUAUUCUCAUUUAUCUACUUGUGUUUUUCAAGAUUUAAAAAGCUAAAAUCGUCGAAUUUAAGGUGUCGAUAUAUAAUGUGAAAAUAUGAGACUACUAUUCUAAAAAAGAAAAAAGACUAGCCUUGGCUUAUUAAUUUCGUACUGGUAAAGUGGUAGUAUGGUAUUGUUUGUUGAUUCAUUAGUUCAUUAUUAAUUUUACUGAUAUAGUAUUGCCGACACUAUCAAAAACUAACCCAAUAGUAACAUUCGGUUUGGUUUUUGUUUGACUAAAAUAUCCGAAAUAAAGACAACAAACCAAACACCAGUUGUAUUAAUAUUAGUGGUGAAAGUUUCAUUCAUUAAUUGAUCACCGUGAAGGCGUGAAACUAACCAUCAAGUUCAAACAUGUAUCUCAAUGAUUUUGUAUUGUCAACAAGACUCACAACUCUAAAAAUUCGCAUAUGCAUUCGUUCAUCUAGAACAUGUUCUUGACACACACCAAAACAAAGAUUAUCGGAUAAUAAGAAAAAGAUCCAAACCCAUCUUUCCUCGUUCGUCAAGCAACGUCUCCGUUUCCUGGUUAGAUCCGACGAGUGUGGUUCUCUUUUUCAUCUGAAGUUGUACUUCCACUUGCCCCACCAGAACUGCUCUGCACAAAACCACCAUUACCAACUGAUUCACCACCGCUUUGGUCGGCGUUUCUUUCUCUCAGCAUGUUGCUGCCUUUAGAAGUCAUCGACCUCGGUAGCUUCAGUUUGGUAUUAUUUGCCUCUCCAGAGUCGCUCGGCUCCUGAGAUGAAGUUGUUGCUGGUGGUGGAUCUACAACGAGCUGAAGCAGAGGCUUCCUCCAUUUCCUUCGUUUCAUUGGCUUUGGCACAUUUGUUUUACCCUGAAACCAAAUAUCAUCAAAUAAGCUAUCUGCUGUCACAGAAACGGAGAAAUGAUCAAAUACAAUGAAAAAGUCUUAGAGAAUGUUACCGUCGUGUUUCCUAUGUCUGACAGAGGCUUUCUUCUUGUUCUGGUUCCUUCUCCAUCAUUAGUCUCCUCAACUGGCUUGUCAGCAAGAGCGUUUUGGAGCAGCAAAGCUCCACGUGAAGCAAGGACUUGUUGUUGUUCUUCCUGAGAACUCUCACUGUUGUUGUUCUGCUUUUCGUCUGCGUUCCUGUUGGAACAUUUAACUGAAGAGCAACCGCAUGAAGGACCACAAGAUCCCUUUGUAGCUCGACAUUGACAUUUCAUCGUUUUGCAAGAAGAGCUCUUACUGCAAGUGCAGCACACAUCAGAUGUUGACGUGGGUUUCACUGCCUCAUCUGAAGGAGAGUCCAGGUUCUCUUCGUAUGAACGCCUCGGCACCACACUAGAGCGCCGUUUUCCCACUUUGAAGUUUCUUUUCCUGUUCAGUUUUAUAACUGAUUCCUGCUCCGACUCACGCUCUGAUUCUUGCUCAGGUUUCCACUCAUCGUCAAGAUCUGGAUCUUCCCGUUCAUGGUCCGAGUCAUCAGAAUCAGAGGUGUCCAUGUCCUCAUGAACUAUAACCGAGUUCCGGGCUUCCUGCUUUUUCAAGCUGUGCUCGUUGUUUAAAUUCCCCUCCGCAGACCUUUUGAUCAAUUCAGAAGCCUG
rnacentral:lncRNA from 1 species